AUUUAUUUUUUAUCUUGGUAACGCACACUAGCUAGGGUGUGGGGCUGGGUAAGUCGGGUCCGAUGGUCGGGUCGAGUUCAGGCCCAAAUUAAUAUUCUUUAAAUACACUAUUAUAUUAGUUGAUCUCAGAUUACAUGCAGUUGGACUUUUGACAAAAUCAUGACUGUGUUCAUAUUUUUAUUCAGAUUCGAAUAAUAUCGAAUUCUAAAUUUUUGUUACCAUUUAGGGCCCGUUUGGCCUAGCUUUUGGAAAAGUGAUUUCUGCAGAAGUGAUUUUAGUUUGAAAAAGUGAUUUAUGUUAAAAGCUGUAGAGCGUUUGGCUGAGUCUGAUAGAAAAAUGAUUGUGCUGAAGUAAUUUUAGAAAGUUGUUUAGCAAAUUUUUUUGCUGAAGUGAUUUUGUAAUGCUAUUUAACAUUAGUAGAUGUUAUUAUUAUAUGCAAAAGAAGCUAUUUGCUCUAAAUAUUCCUCUUUUCCAUAAGCAGGAUACAUAUAUUACAAGUACUACAAAAAUCCACCGAGUCACAUUUGCUAAUCCGACGUUAAAUAAUCAAAAUUUAUUAACCAUAUUUUACUCUUAAUCGUUCCCCUCAUAAACCUCCAGGUGCUAAAAUAAUACAAGAGGCCGAUUCUCUUCUUCAAUCACUACACGCCAGAAUUGUAACAUCCCCUUACACAUUUGGAGGGACAAUCACCUCUACUUAAGUACCCAUAGUGUGAUAUUAUUCAAUGCAUAAGUAAUUGGCUCUUUAUGUCCUUAGGUAGUGAUGGACUCCUUGUACACAGGGAACUCGAGAAGAGUUCAUCUUUGCAUCAUUUCGACUAAUUUCGGCGAAGCCGAAGCUCGUCGGCGCAGAUCCGGCCAAGCCGGCGGGAUCCGUCUUUGCCGGAUCACGCCGGCGCGGAUCUCGGGCCAGAUCUGGUGCCGGGCGCGGAUCUGGGGCCGGAUCUAGUGCCGGGCGCAGAUUAGAGAGAGAAAUCAAGAGAGGGAGGGAGAUAAAUCUGUAUGAAAAAAAAAAACAUUCUCCUUUAAAAAAAAAGGGAGUAUUUUGGAGAUUCGCUGGAAAAAAAACUUGUCGGAGACUCGCCGGAGAAAAAACUCGCUGGUAGAAAAGACGUCGCCGGAGAGGAAAAUGGGAGAGAGAUGAAGAAGAGAGGAGAUGAGAGUGAUUAGAUGAAGAAGAGAGGAGAGGAGUGUUUUUUUUUUUUUUUCUUUUGAGAGUAGGUGGCUGUGAGUAAUGGGAAAGAGUAAUGGGAGAGAUAGUAUUAUAAUUAUAAAAAGACAUGAAAGAAUUGUGUUGAUUGUUUAAGGGUAAUUCCGGUAUUUUCUUAAAAAAAUUUAAGUGGGUUUCAGCUUGUGCGGGAAUCUGUUUUGAAAAGUAAGUUUUUUUUAGCUUCUGCUUUUGGGAGUUGAAGAAUCAAUUUUCAGCUUUUAGAAAGCAGAAUCAGAUUUUUAAAAUACCUCUACCAAAACACUCUAUUGGGCCUAAAAGUGAUUUUCAGCUGAAAAUCACUUUCAAAUAGCUUGGCCAAACAGGGCCUUAUUCGGACUCGGAUAUGAUUUAGAUUUGUGUAUAUAAAUAUUAUUCAGAUAAUAAUAUAUAAUAAUACGCAUAUAUAAAUAUAAACUGAAUUAGCAUGAAUAAAAUACGAUACAACUAUAUAUGGUUCUACACUCGUGCUCAAAUAUCAAUCAUACUAGUUAAGCGCCCCGCGCGAUGCGGCGGGCGCGAUGCAACGAAAAGACAAUACAACAGUAAAUUAUUAUAACUAUUAACAUCACUUUUUUUUUCCUAUUAUGCAUUAAUAUUUUUAAAUAUUAAUGCUUCUAAUCGGUAAGGGUUACCGAUUAAUAAGUUCGAUGCGGCGGAAAGAUAAAAUACAAUAGUAAAUUAUUAUAGCGAUUAAUAUCACUUUAAAAUAAAAUUUUAAUUUUGAAUGCAAAUUCAAAGAUCAAAAUCAAAACAAAAAAAUUAAAAUUUGAAAUCAAAAUUUACAAAAUUUAAGUUUGAAAUCAAAAUUUUAAAAAUUUAAGUUUGAAAUCAAAAUUUAGAUUUAAUUUAAAAUUCAAUUUAAAUUUUGAAUUCAAAUUAUAAUUCAAAAUUCUAAUUACUAAUUAGUUCAAAAUUUUAAUUUUANGAAAUUGAAGGAUGUUAUAUAUGAACUUGAAAUUUUAGAUAAUUUUAUUUUUGUCAAAAAAAAUUGUGUAUACCUAAGUUGCGUGUAAUAUACUAAUAAUAUAUAGCUAAGAUGUGCAUGUAUCAAGACAUUCAUUUGAAAUUUCACAUUAUUUAUAUCAAAAUUAGCAUGAAUAAUUCUUUAAAAAAUUGUGUGGGCCCCACAAACCUUCAAAAUAAGGAGAGGCCUUCAUUAGGAUUAUCGAUUCAUAUAUAUAUGUUUUGAGAACUAAAGUGAAAAGCAUAUAAAAUUUAGGGAUCAAAAUUAGCAUGAAAAAAAAGGUUAAAUAUGCGAUGACAUGAUAAUUUCGAUAAUUAUAAAAUAUUUUUUAACGGUUGCUAUUUUAUCACGAUGAAAUUAAGAGAUUUGAAAACUUAAUUGUAAAAAAGAAAAUUGGAACCAAAAUAAAACGGUGGAAAAUUUGGGCAUCACUAUGUAAUUAAUCCUAAAAAAAUCUCAAAAAAAUCCCAUAAUAAGGGGAGGCAUUCAUUCUUUAAGUUCCAAAUUAGAUAAAAUUUUAAUUUGGUUAUCUAUAGUAAAAAUAAUAAAAAAUUGUUGUAGAAAAAAAAUAAAAAAAAAAUAUUGAGAGAGGAAAAAUAAAAAAAUGUAAGAGAGAGAGAGAGAGAGAGAGAGAGAGAGUGUGUGUGUGAGUGAGAGAAAAAAAAAAAAAAAAAAGUGGGACCCACCAAAGCUUCCCGCCAAAUAUGGGAAAAAUUCUAGAAUGCAACGGGUAUAUUGGUGACGUGGCAUAACAAACCAAUCAAAUGUAUCCUUUUAGGGAUAUAUGUUCUAUCAUGAUUGUAAAAAAAAUAUUUUUAUUGUACUUUUGUUUGAAAAGAAGAAAUAUGAUUAGCUUGUUAUUAAUGACGUGGUGCAAGCGUGACAGUGUAGAAUUCCUCCAAACGCGGGGAGGCUUUGGUGGGUUCCAAAUUCACAAUAUAAUAAAUGCCUACAUUCUAUUCAAUAAAAUUUAAUAUUUUACAAACAUAAAUGUAAUUUUAACGUAAAACUUCUAGUAAAAUAAAUAAAGAAUAUAAGAAAAAACCAUGUAUCUUAUCUCCCUAUAAUAUAUAUCAAUAUCUUUCUUUAUCAUAUCUAUAAUAUCCGCACUUUUUUCAUAUGUGAAUUAGAAUACAUUCAUGUGUAUAGGAUGCUAAAUUUUGAUAUCUAUAUUUGUGUCUUAUCGAAUUCAGUAUCGACUUGAAACGGAUUUUAUCCUAUCUGCUUUUAUUCCGAUGGCUAAUAUGCCCGAAUGGAGGAGACUUAAAUUAACUUUGCAUAUAUCUUGUGCAAUUUCCAUUAUUCCAUUUCAUCGAUCUUUUCGGUAUGGAGCUCCUUAUUUUUGUUUUAAAAUAGUAAUUUUUCUACCCUAGGACUCUCAUUUUACGGAACUUGUGAAACUUAAUUUUGUCGUGCGCCUUCUAAUAUUCUUUUCUGUAUUGUGCCCUGGCCAAUUCGGUUGUUAUAAGAGAGAUGGGCUAUAGAUGACGCACACCCGACCCACGUGGGUAUAGAUCAUCCAAAUGUUUACAUUGAUAGGAAAUUAACCUAACAACAUGCAUGACCUAUAUAAAUUUAAUUUUAGGGAUAAUUGCUUAUAUACCCCUCGUAUGUUUGAAAAUAUCCGAUUUAUUCCUACUUUUUUUUUUCUUUCUAAAAUAUCCCUCAUAUAUUCCACCCUUAUUGCAAAAUACCCCUGCAGUUAUCUCCUGUUAAGUUAAUUUAGGUUAAACGUGAGUUAAACAUCUACCACAGUUUAAAAAAAAAUAAAAUGCCAAUUUUGCUCUUAACUUAAGGGCAAAUAAAAAAUAUUGAUGACGGUAGAAGGGUAUAUUGGAAAAGACCAAAAGUCAAAAUACUUUUUAUGUCCCUGGCUUUAAGGGUAAAUAAGAAAGUCAGUGAUGGUAGAAGGGUAUAAUUGAAAGGGCAAAAUAGUAAUUUUAGAGAGAUAACAGAGUUCAUUAACACAUUUUAAUUCUAAGGGUAUAUUAGAAAUAGGUUGGAUUGUAGAAAUGACAUUUUCAAUAUUAGCCUUCUAAGAGGGGUAAAUUGAAAAGUCGAAAAAUUUUCAGGGUAUAUAAGCAAUUGCCUCUUAAUUUUAUAUAACCCACAUGAGCUACACCGACCGUCCCUAGAGCAGGUGGCAAAGGGUUUGAUGGUUGGUACCCGAUACCCAAGUUUGAAUCUUAGUUGAUUCACAUUUCCAGCUAAGUUUAUUUUUAAAUGAAAUAAACAAAGCGGGUAGCGUGCUACCUAUCUCUAAAAAAAAAAAAAAAAAAAAAAAAAAAAAAAAAAAAAAAAAAAAGGGCCGCUUGAGCCACUUUCGGAAAUGAAGCACGCACCCCAUGCCUUUUCCAGAUAAAGAAAUAGAAGCAAAAAAGUUGUCAAGAAGGGCAUAAUUAAUUUGUGCAGGUUGCAUCUCAAUAUAUAUAUAUAUAUAUAUAUAUAUAUAUAUCAACCGCACCAGGAAAUUAACUGGAUUAGAUGUAAAUAUAAUUAGGGAAAAUUUCAUAGGUACCUAUAGGAGACUGAAAUUUCAUCAAUAAUCCUCUCUAAAAUUGAAAAUAUUAUGAAUGCCCUUCUAAAUUCAAAAAAUACUCAUGAAUGCCCCUACAGGUAAUGUGCCGUCAAAAUCUAACCGAACAAAUUAUAUAUGUCAUUUCUAUCCUUGUACGGUUUAUUAAAUAUAGGAAGUCGUAAUUGGUAUAUUAAUACUAUUCACAAAUGUCCUCUUAUUCUCUCCACAUAGCAACGAGCCCACUAAAUAGUUUAUAUUUUACAACACCUCAUAAUCCAACUUCUAAUUGUGAUUGUGGUAAACCGUGCCGAAUUUAAAUGUCAAAAUAACCACAUAGUAAAGGUCCGAUAUCCAAAUUUGAGAGUAAGUUGAUGUGAUGCUUUAGCGUGCAUAUAAUUAUGAAUUAAAUUUUAAAUAUUUAAUGCUAUAUAUUUUCUAUUGAUUGAGGAAUAAAGAUGGUACAACUACUUUGCUUGGGUAGAUAAUUUUUCAACACAGCACAAUUAACUUUAAGUAUCAAAUACAAAUGCUAAAAAAUAGUAUAGGUUGAAGAAUUACGAAGUUGGAGAAGAAAAUCCUACUGUGUACUUUAUAUACUAGUUGCUAAAAUUUUUUAGCUUAGCAUUAAUUAGUUAUUUCCUGCCAAAUAUAUCAUUCUAACUUUUGGGGAGAAGUUUGUCAUUUUAUAUUUUAACUCUCAUUUAACUACAUUUUAACCCGGGUAGAGUGACGUGUCCUUAACGGUAAGGGUACACUACUACAGAUACAAGAUUUAGUGGCGACAAAUGUCGCCACCAUAGCCAAUAUUGUCGCCACGGAAAACGUUUUGGCGGCGACAAUCUGUCGCCGCAUGCCGCCGCCUAAAACCCCGUCGGUAAAACAAUUUGGUGGCGACAAUGUGUCGCCGCUAAAAGUUAGAUAAUUAGCGGCGACAUACNCGAAGACCCUUUUUCAGGGUAUCAUAUGCCUAUUUAUAGAACCGCCUUUGCGUCAGUUAUUGCUCUUGCACGAUCAGCCACUACCUCCUGAUUCGUAGGACCACCUUCGGCCGAUCGGAACCGCUCGUAACUGCUUGCGGUUGUUAUAACUCCUCGGUCCAGUGCGGCUCGUAUGCGUCCGGUGUACUCUAGGUCUACCGUUUUAGCCGUCUUUCGAAUAUGGACCCGGCGUGCCAGCUGUUCGCACCUAACUGGCUCAACAAUUGCCCCCUCGCCAGUUUUCGAAGCGAUGCUUCGGUAGCUGGCGUUACCUUUUUCGUCGCAAACAAUUUUCUGUUGCCGAAAGCGGGCUUGAUCCGAGGUGUAUUUCUCAGUCUAAUCAAAUUCAAAUUCUCUGACGUAUUCUGCACUACGAUCUUCUGUACGGUUUAAUCUAAACCAUUUAUUCUCUUCUUCACGGCCCUAAUCGCAUUCUCUACUUUUGCCUCAUGUGCGGCAUUAAUUAACUCAUCUUAAUUGCCGCUGUCUAUUCAUCAUUACAGCUGACCUUGGGACUCGUAAUCGAAGCGACAGUUCGAUACGACGGCCUUUUCUUCUUCCUCAAGCUUCCCAUUCUUUUUGUCUCUUCUAAUUUUCUUUUCCUCAUAUCUUUCACUAGAACCUCUUCUUUGUCUCCUUCAUCCUUCUUCGCUUUUCGUAACCGAUUCUCUCGGCUCUUCUCUUCUAUUGAACAAUGUCUUUGGUUCCUCCUCUUCCUUCUCAUCCAUCUCUUGACUAUACUAUACUCAAACUUUUCGUCGAUUUAGAUCCAUCUAGAUUCAUACUAGGUCCUUCUCUUGUAGAUGCACCAUCUCCUACUGACUCCUGUUUCUCUGAUGAGGGACUUCCUUUGAAAAGGAUUAUUCAUCUCCAUUCUUGGUACUCAUCAGCUUCAACAGGAAAGAGUCUCAGAACCUGGCCAAGUAUUUCCGAAGCAUAUUUGGCCUGGUUAGAUAGAGUAGAAUCCGUUUUUGGCGCCUUCUGGCGGAAAAUCGGCAUUUAUGAAGCAAUUCAAUUAUCUCGGCACCCUUCUAUAGCCGAUAAUCUUCUUCUAGCCGCUGCUCUUUGUUUCUGAUCCCCUGUUUCUAAUAUUUUUCUUUUCAAAAGGGGGCCUCUUACCCUCACUCCUUUUGAUGUGGCAGCCAUUGUUGGCUUACGCCCUCAUGACAUUACUCUCUCUAUAGCCUACAAUCCUGACGGUGUGUCUGAUUUUGAGGCACACCUUGAUCUAAAUAAUUUGGCUUACUCUAAAUUUCUUUGAAAAUUUGCAGGUGAAUCCCCUGCCCCGGUCACCAGGAAGGAACACACAGCAUUCCUUCUAUACUGGUUAUGCGACAAUCUUUUCUGCACUCGUUCGCAGAAAAUUAACCGAGAUUUUGUUCCGAUCGCCGUUGGUUUAUCUAACGGCGAUAAAUUGGCCUUGGGGUCAUAUUUCCUUGCUUUCGUUUACAGAGAAGUUUUUGAUUCUAUUAAACCACUACCUUCCGGUGAUGGCAUUGCCAUCAGCUCUGGAUGUGGCGUUUUUUGGUUUCUGCAAAUGUUUCUUCAAUUCUAUAUUCCUGCUUUAUGCCAAUCCCCUUUCAAUCCGAUUUCAGCUACCCAAUUUGAUUCUUAUGGGCUAGCUCUCAGCUGUCCGCAGCCGAUGACCUCUGGUCAACCCUCUGAUUUUCUUACUUAUUUCAAGGCUUUUUACGAGCCAGCCUCUGAUUCGGCUAUUUCUUGGGCUCCAUUUAUUGAUCGUCUCACCGGCCCCUCUUGGUUUCUGGCUCGGUUUGAAACCAUUCAAGGCGAGCUAUCUUCUUCUCGCACCGGUGAACAUUCAGAUGUAUGGUAUUCGUAUCUAGCCCCUCGGGACCUUCAUGUGGGGCUUAAAUCACGUUCGAAACUACUACCGAGUACUGAGGUUUAUUCUCCUCAGUAUGUGGCACGGAAAUUUGCAUUUGUUCGGCCGAUCCCGGCCCCUUCUAAAUUUUUUACGGCCAACACAGCCGAUCAUCGUCCUUCCACCAAGAGCAUAUUUGAAGCUGACAAGCUUUCGGCUAUGGGGAAUCGUAUCAGACGCUUCUUCCAGCUAGCAAGCUUCCGUCCGAACUAUACAGGGGUAGCCCUCGCCGGCUAUGCUACCAUGUGGGAUCAAUUUACCGACCGCUCCUAUGAUCUUUCUCUGCCUCGAGCACUCCGUAAAACCAUCCAUCCAUUUGGUCAGUCAUCUAAUAUUUGUUUAUAAUUUCCUUCCAAUAUGGCUGUAACUUAUCUUUUAUUUUAUACACAGCCACCAUUUCGAGCAGAGAUUCUCCAACCGAGAUUGAGUCUCCACCAGACACUAUUUCUGAUGCCUCGCCUUCUUCCUCGGUAAAAUAUCAUUUCUCCACUCAUCUUAAUCAUAAUUUUUUCUUUGUUCAUCAUUUUUGUUUGUUUCUGUUUUCAGUCGAUUCCUGCUUCUCCAUCGGUCUCAGCUUCGAAAAAAAGACCGAUUGAAGUUGUUCAAGUCACUUCCCCGUCGUCUUCCAAACGGCGUAAGUCAGUGGUUAAAAGAAAAUUCCAACAAGCCGAAAGUACCCCUUCGGCUGAUACCACUAAAGACAGAGCCGAGGAUAUUCCUUCGGCUGACAUUCCAUCCAAAGAAGCUACUACACCCUCUUUGGCUACCUCUGUUCCAACCGAAAUGAUUGAUGUCGGGGUAAGCCAAAUUAAUUGGUUGUACGAAAAGAACAUUUCUUAAUUAUUUAUUACUUUCUUUUAAACUACAGUCUUCUCCUGAACGAGCCCCUUUUGCUCAUUAUUCGAAGAUGCAGAUGGAACGGCAGCUUCGCAGGGAAGCCCGUCUCGAGAAAAAGAGAGGGAUGGAAAAGAAGAAGAAAUCUGUUGAAACAGCGGGCACGACGCCGUUACCCAGUGAGGUUGCAUCACCUCUUUCUGCUCCUGCCCCGACAUCAACUACAGGGGAUGAACAGAUAAACAUACAUCUCGGGCGAACUUCCGAAGACACCAGCACUAUUCCUCCCCGCUCGCCCCAGGGAGCUGCUUCCCCUAUUGCUGAUGAUCCUUUAUCUGCGAUUCUUCAUUCUUUUUUGAUUUCAAGCCCCAGCUCCAAUGAAAGGGAUGAUUCUUCGACCAUUACCAUUUCAUCAGACACCCAGAAUAAGUUCGAUGAAUGCCUUAAAAUGUAUAGCAUUGGUAUUCCUGGUCUAGCUCAGAAUCCAGAACAAUUUAAUCGGCUAUAUGCCUUUUUACUUGAUUUGGCCGAUCAAUCAGAUAUUACUCCCGGCGUAAAAUAUUUUGUAGCAACCUUAUCACUUCAACUUUCAUCUUUUUUGGCUCGGCAGCGAUCUUUGGGCACCGAACUUGUAGCUUUAGAUCAACAUUUUCAUCGUGUUGAUCAUUUUAAAAAGAAUAUCCCUAAUAUAGCAGCUCCGCCUACUGAAGUGCAUCAAGAGGAUAAGGAAUUGGCUGAUCAAGAAUCGGCUCUACAACAACGGAUUUCUACUCUUAAAGAAGAGUUAGCCGCAGCCGAAUCUACUCUCGCAUAAACCUCUGAGCGCCGACUUCAACUAAAAGAUCUACUGAAGUCCAGAAAGGAAGAAGGGAUAAGGCUUAAAGAGGAGCUUUCUCAACUUUACAAAGUCCAUCAUUUGAUGAAGCACCGAAGGAAAGCUGCUGAGACCGCCCAAGCCAAUCUCAUAGCCAAAUGGAAUCAACUCAAAGGCUUAUUGUCCUGAUUCGGCUUGUAAUUUUCUAACUCUGAUUUUAAUUAUUCUCCCACAUGGAUGGGUAAUAUCUCUUUAAAUAUUUUUCGUUGAUUGAUUUUUCAUUUUCUGACCCAUCUUUGCUUUGUAAAUAAUAUGCGUUUCCUCUUGUGAUUCGGCUAAUCUGAAAUGGUCCUUCCCAAUUUGGGGACCAUUUUUCAUACAUUCGAUCUUUUUGACCGAUUGGAAAAAUCAGCCGAAGUACUAAAUCACCGACGACAAAUGUCUUUGAUCGAACUUUCUUAUUGUAUGCGCUACGCACUCGGCUUUGGUANGAGGGAAGUCUUGGCGCGCUUCAUAAGGAUAUAUAGCGGCGACACAUUGUCGCCGCUAUAUUUUCCGUUUUAGUGGCGACACCUAUAUGUCGCCACCAUUUUCUAUGUAAUGGCGGCGACUGAUAAAUAUCGCCACCAUUUUUUAUGUAUUGGCGGCGACAAAUAAUUGUCGCCACCAUUUUUUAUGCAAUGGCGGCGACAAAUAAAUGUCGCCACCAUUUUCUAUGCAAUGGCGGCGACAAAUAAUUGUCGUCGCCAUUUUCUAUGUAUUGGCGGCGACAAUGCCUAUCGCCACAAAAAAGUCGCCACUAAAACCUACUUUUGUUGUAGUGGUAGUUAUGAUAAUUUUAUUUUUUUGAAGAGGUAUUUAUGAUAUUUUAAAGUUUAGAGGAGUAUUCACGAAAUUUACAAGUUUGAUAAUAUUACUGAUGAAAUUGCCCUUUUCUUUAUAACAAUAAUUGCAUAUAAUUUAGGAUAAACUUCAAAUACCAAUAUCCUGUAGUUUCGCACUUUUUCACUUUUUUAUUAUGUAGUUUAAAAAGGAUCACUUUAGUACCCUAUGGUUUUACUUUUCUUCUUUCGUCAGCACUUUCAUUAACUCUCCAUUAAAUUAUAUACAAAAAACUUCAGAUAUCCCACCUACGGUUUAUUGAAUAGUCACUUUAUUAUCCUGUGAUUUACUAAAUUUAAUAGGAAAAUUAAUGAAGGGAUAACGGAAAGAAAAAUUUAUUAAAUUUAUUAAAAUUAAUAAUGAAAUGAAUAUAAAAACUCAAAUAAAAAAAUAGAGGUUAAAGGGGUGUCAACAAAAAAAAUUUAAAGCUGAUGAGCCUAUAUCAAAAUCGUUUAUAAUUGAGGGGGUCUCCAUACAAUUUACCUAUUGAAAUUAAAUAAUUUUAGUUAUUUUAUCUGAAAAAUUGUGUUAAAUUUAAUAAAUUUCCCUUUUUUUUACACUACAUCUCUUAAUUUUUUAAAAUUAAAAGUCAAGGAGUCUUAAUAAAAAAAUUGCAUAGUUAAAUAAAUUAUUUCAAAAUAGCAUAUAGUUGAGGGAUCUCCGUACAUUUCUCAAGCAGUAUCAAGUAAUUAGGGGUAAAUUCGCCAUUUCAUUACUUAACCCCUUAUAAAUUAGGGUAAAAUGACGGUAUUUUAACCGUAGGAGUAUUUAUGAUAAUUUUUUAUGUUUUAAGGGAUAUGUAUGAUGUUUUAAUUUUUGUAGAAGUAUCUACGAAAGUUAUAAAUUUUAGAAGGGUACCAGUGAAAUUGCCCCAUAUAGUUAUUUCAUCUUGUACAAUUGUAUGGCAUAAUCGAGUGUAGGUUUCUAUGUGUACAAGUUGAAACAUUGAGAUCCAGUUUGAUACAUAAAAAAAAAAAAAAAAAAAAGAAAAAAAAAAGAGGAUGUCAAAUAAAUAAAAAAAAGAUUAAAAUAUAUAGACAUUCCUCACACUUUAACCCAUUUUGUAAAUUAUCUCCUAAUUUGUUUUAUUUGAUUUGUACCCGUUCUACUUAGUAAUUAUUUAAUUUAUACUCGAUCUUCUUACUAACUAUUUGAUAUACCUCAUUUAAGAAAUUUUGGAGAUUUUAUAAGCAUCAAAAUAUGUGCCCAUGUGAGAUAUACGCGUGAUCAAGAAUCAUUUUAAUUAGUCAAAAAUUAGAUCACAUUGAUAUCUCAGUGAAUAUUUAAUUCUAACAAAAUUUUCAAGAUCACUAAUGAAAUGAAGUUCAGAAGGUAGAAAUAAAAUUUAAUAAAAAAAGUUCAGAAGGUAAAUUUCAAAACAUCAGGAAAUAUCUGUACAUGUCAACCAAAAAGAAACUUUGCAAAACUUCAAGUAAAUAAAGGGUUAAAAAAGGGUAUACAAAUUAGAUUACGUAUGCAAAUGUAGAAAAGAUAUGGUGAAGUGAAACACCAUCAUCCACCGUCACAUAGAUAGGUUUUUCUUUCUCCAAAAUUAAGUACCAAAAUAUCCCAACCAAUGAGCUACACUUUCUUGGCCACUUUCCUUUGCAACAACAUAAAUAUCACGCACCCAUCGUAAUUAUAAGUUAGCAUCCAUUUGGCACGCAAUAUCCCAGAAAAAUAAAAAUAAUAUAUAAUAACAUAUUGUCAAUCUCAUUAAACUACGCUUGAUGGUGAUUUUAUCCGCAAACUUUAAUUUAUCCCCCGAAGAAUUAAUAUUCGGCACUAAUAAUCUCUGACAUUAACACCAUGGAUGCGGAUUCAUAAAAAUAUAAAAAAUAAAAAAUAAAAAAUAAAAAAUGGAUGGUGGCCUGACGCCACCCAAUAAUUAAUUUAGAGAGCCACCCAAUAAUUAAUUUAGAGAGCGGACCACUGUAAGCGACGACAAAAAAACUAGCUAAUCUUGGGUGCAGUCACCACUCAUUAUCCCAAAAAUUGAUCAUAUAUAUAUAUAUAAUUGAGCUCCUAUACUUUUGAAAGUACCAAGACAUUGGUGCUUGUAAGUUUUUAGCCUUUAGAUUAAAAAAUAUGUGGUUAGGAUGAUGUGGAUCCCCUAGGGUUGAGUGGGUGGUUGGUUGAAUAAUAUAAUCUAACGGGUGUAAAUGAUCAACAGUGCUGAUCUAACGGUUAAAAACCUAUAAGCACAAAGUGAUUGGUGCUUGUAAAGCUUUUACAAGCACCAUAGCCGAACUCUAUAUAUAUAUAUAUAUAUAUAUAUAUAUAUAUAUAUAUAUAUAUAUAUAUAUAUACACAUGCUAAGGUUCAAAUUACACACUUCUAAGUUUUAUACUUCUUAUAUUAAUUAAAGGCUAAAUUACAUAAAAUCUUUCUGUCAAAAUUCGAUUUUUUACUUUCCCCCAUGUCAUUUAAAACCUACAGUUUGUUCUCUUGUAAAAUAAAAAAUGUUCACAAGGAGGUACAGUAAGAAAUGUGAUGACAAAAUAAUCAAUUUGCCUCUCACCAUUUUCAUCUCCUCCCUCAUCUUGCUCAUCCGCCGCCUCGAUCGGCCACGGUUCGCGCCUCAAUUGGCAAGGAUUCCUCUCCAUUUUCUUCUCCACCUUCUCCCUUUCUCCUCCUGCACCCUCGGCGCCUCUCCAUUUUGAUGACAGUAGUGAGGAAAUCGAAAUAAGCGUGGAUGAAAAGGUAGGCAAAGGUAACAAGGAUGAAGGCAAGACGGCGGAGAAGGGCGAGAGGGUGUUUGUGGGCGCGGACGGAGACGUGGGCGAGGGCGAGGCAGUGAAGGAGGGCUAGGCGGCGAGGCGGAUGAGGGCGAAACACAGUAGAGGGCGGAGGGUAUUUUUGGCAUAAAAAAUAUUUUAUAACGGAACCCUAAUGGUCACUGACGGUAGGGGGUGAAGUGAACGUUUUUUAUUUUACAAGGGGCAAAGUAUAGGUUUUUAAAUAACAUGGAGGGAAAGUGAAAAAUCGGAUUUUGACGGAUGGGUUUUCUGUAAUUUAGCCUAAAUUAAAAUCUAAUGUUUUAGAAUAAAGAUCUAAAUGUUGAAAUUAUUGUACAAUGUAAAAAGGUCGUACAAGCCAAAUUUUAUAAUUUCUAAAAUAUUAUAUCUCGGGUUUUCAAUAUGGCCAAUUUGCAUAAACAAUUUAUUAGUUUUCAGCUUUUGCAAAAGUAUGCCGUCUUUUAAAAUUUUGUAGAUUCGAGACGGAUUUUUAGAAAACUGACCAAAAUAACUUUAUUUUCUUUUCUCUCUCUUUUUUUCUUUCCUUUUUUAUUUUCUUUCACUCCGAAGAGGGAGGCAGAGGCACAGGCGGAGGCGGAGGUGGAGGCGGNCGUGUCAUCACCCUCACCCUCACCCAUGCCCGCGUACCCUCCCUCCGCCUUCCUCGCCUCCGACCCUGCUGAGGCCGCACCUCGACCCUCUUUUUCUUUUCUCUCCAACCCUCUUCCACCGCCUCCCCGGCUCUUUACAACAGUAAAUAGGGCAGCGUCACGUCCUUUUCCUCUCUUUUUUUUUCUUUCAUUUUUUUCCUCCUCUACCACCUCCGUGACCCUCCACGACAGUAACGAGAACAGCGCUGCAUCCUCUUUCUCUGCCUUUGCCAACGCAGUUAUCGACGCCGGUGCCGGAGAAGGAGGACUCGGAGCAAGUGCGGGUGAAAGUGGAGCCGAGAAAAAAAUACAGAAAACAAAAAUAAUAAAAACUCAAGUAUACAUAAAGCGCCCACUGUACAUACAAUAUCCAAAGCACAACCUCGAUCCAGAGAGUACAACAAAACACAACUGCAUGUACAUGGUAACGUCCCAAAACUACCUCUGAAGGGGGUACUCCUCUAGCCCAGUGACCAAGGAAGGUAGGGAUUUAGCUCGCGACUCACUUACCACAGUCAGAAUCAAUAACAGCAGCAAUAACAGACAAAAACUCUGCAAAAAUAUGGCAACAACAGGGUAUGAGAACUACUGCAAAAUAGAGUAGCCCUCAAUGGGUACCGUCACCGAUCUUAACGGCCUACCCACUAAGUCUACAGUACAAGCAUGCAAAGGAUAGUAAAAUAAGCUGAAAAACUCUACAGUUAUAUGCCACUAGACUACUGCUAUCCAAACCAUAUUCUCUGUAGACCUAGAAAUGCAUCACUAGCUACAACUCUAUCACACUAACCUAAUCUCAACGGACUGCCAACUGGUCAGUCCAGUUUGUACCCAAGCUACACCGCACACCACCCACGGGGGUGGCCGGUCCAAGAAGAUUGUCCAAAUAGGACUGCUAUGACAUCAACGCAAGUAAAGCCUCACUUCGGAGAAACACUCGUGGGAGCGACCCAACCGAGUAUGCAAGCGUGUCUCUGUCGAGCUCAAUCAGGCUCACAUAGACUAUAAUCAGCACAAGUGGGUCAAAUUAGUCUAACAACCAAGGCUCACGUGCCAUCGGCACAAUCUGAUACAAGAUAGAGGAAUCUGGGUCCACCGUUAGCCCCGACGGCACCCGACAGUACGGAACAGACCAACUCUACUGUAACCACGGGCUCAGCCCCUCAGCACCAGCGUAAUCUCAACCUACACUAAUUUAAAUAUCCACAGCACACUAACAACGGUGAUACAAAAAAAAAAAUAGCUCCUGAAGCUAAUUCUGUUAACUUUUUCAAAAAAUGUCAAGUGUGGGUUUACCGAGUUUUCUCCUAAGUCAAAUUCCAGUUCAGCAUAUAAGAUUUAUCUAACAUCAGUACAUUAUGCUCCAAAUUCAGAUUUCAUAUAAAACAUGCAAAUUCAUGAAUUCGAGCUACUAAACGUGAUGUUCAAAACAAAAAAUGCAUGCUGACAACUCUACGACUUAGGAGAAAUGCAUACUGACAACUCUACGACUUAGGAGAAAUUCCGACGAUUUUGGUAAACAUUAACCCACCUCAAACGCUCGUCCAACAUCGGCUACAAAUCGAUAGGAGAAAUCCCGCGCUCGUUCGACCUCCAACGGCUCAACCGGGUGCACGAGCAACCUCCAAAGACCAGAUGAAAAGAAACUGAGAUCAAUUCUCAAGUUGCUAGAGAGAGAGGAAGAGGAUAAGCUUUAUCCGUUCUCUAAGCUCCAGCCCAUAUAUACAAGCUUGGGUCAGUUGGGAUUUAUCAACAGCGAAAUGACCAAAAGAACCCUUACCAACUCAAACCACCGCCUAGAGUACCAGUUCUCAAUUUGGGUACCGGUACCCGACACUCAUCCAGCAAACACGAGCGUGGUGUACCGGUACUGGUCCGAUGCAGUACCGGUACCCAGUCUCAGUCCGGUUGUUAUGGAUUUUAAGUUGGCAUAUUUCGUGAACUAAAUCGGAGUCUUGAAGGUUAAAAGAAGAAGAGACGAAGAUUGAAGACUCGAAGACUCAAAACAUGAAUCCAUAAUGCUCGGUAAGUUUAAGUACUGUUGAUGAUGAUUUAUAAAUAUUUACAAAUAUUUGGAAGACAUUAGAAUAGGUAUAAAUUGAUAAAAAUUCAAUUCUGAGUUUUCCAAGUUUCAGGAUCCAGACCCUAAAAGAAAGGUCCGAAUCCCGUAAGCCUCCCUGGCUGAUACGGAGCGAGGGUCCGGACCAUGGCUCCAGAGUCCGGAUCCCGUACAUCGGUUUUGCUGAUACGCAAGGAGGAUCCAGACCUUGGGAUCAAGAUCCGGACCUUCAAGAUCCGAAUCCUACUAGAAGGUUUGGACCCUGAACCCGACGUCAGUUUUCCAAAUAUAGUUUUAAGGUUUCCAAAUAUGGCUUUUCAAUCCUAAUCUAUUUUCUAAUGAUUUCCAAAUAUGGUUUUUCAAUCCUAAUCUAUUUUUAAUAUCAUCUAAACCUAUAAAUAAGAUAUGGGGGUAUUUUUAAAAGGUAGCUAAGCAUAGAAUAUCUUUUUGAAGCCCUAGAAACUUAUUGGGUGCUCUCUUUCUUAUCUCCAACAACAAGUUUAUAUUGGAUCAAUUCUCGAAACCCUAAUUUCUCGUUCUUCAUGAAGAAUUGAUCUGGCUAUUGCUUAGAAACAUCUUCUACGAUUAUUUCCUGAUCAUCUAAGCAAUAAAUCAUCGCCAACCGUAUUAUUCUUACUCCGGACGGAGUGCGCUCGUGGAUUCGAGUGGGCGUCGUGGAUUCGGUGUGAUCAAGGCUUCGUGGAUUCGAAGUGUGGACAUCUCAUGGAUUCGGGACGUGGCUUUCGUGGAGUCGGACGUGGGGCGUAGACAACCCGGCGGCGUGCGCGAGAUCUGAAGAAGAUAAAAGAGAGGUUGAGUCCGUGGAUUCAGUAAUCACCUUGUAAUCUUUUAUUUCUUAGUGGAUUGUUAUCGCGUGUUGGUCCCGUGGGUUUUUCUCCAAAUUGGAGUUUUUCCACGUAAAUCUCAGUGUGGUUGUACUUUCCACAUUUAUUUUUAUCGCAUUGAGAUUUGCGUUUUUGGUCUAUCACCUAUUCAGCCCCCUCUAGGUGUUUGAUAGUAUUUAGAUAGAUCCUAGAUUUUCAUAUCUUACAGUUGGUAUCAGAGCGGGAUCUAGAUUUUUCUAUUAAUAUGGGUGAAGGUGGUAGUAUUAAUAGGGCUCCUCUUUUUUAUGGGAUCAAUUAUUAUUUUUCAAAGAACGUUGGAUGAUUGCUACAUAAAUAGUGCUUUGAACAUCAAUAGGUUCACUUUCAUUCACUCCUAGUUAAUUUCGUACUAAUUAUCGGUUUUACUUUAUUUUCAUUAUUUAUGAAGUUAAUUUAUUAUAGGAUAUUUUAAUUCUUAUAUUCAUCAAAUUUGAGUAAUCAUGUAUAAUCUUUAGACACUUAACCUAUCUCGGUUGUGUGUGUUGAAUUUGAUGAAUGAAAAUUUGCUAAUAGACUAAAACUUAUCAAAUUUUCUUUCAAAUAAGAGAUUGCAUAAUUAAGGGAGAGUUAUAUAUAAAUAAAAAGAGAAACACUCCAAGUGCCUAAAAGAUGUGGAAAGAGUUACAUCCAAAGGAGUGUGAAAACUACCACCACAUGUAGGAAAGAGCUACCACCCCGAUCCUCCGGUCAGUGUGUGAAGCUACCACAUGAAAUUUUAGUGUAUAACUGAAAAGGUUGAAAAAGUGUUCAUAUUAUAUAAAAAUUUUCGGUGUAAUAAGGUGGUUUAGUAAAAGAUGCUCAAAGAGGCACCCCCCGGUACAUUAUUGCUUGGUCUUGAAUUUGAACGUUUAUGCGACAAUUUCUAUCAUUUAAUGAAUCUUCAUAAGUCAUCUUUAUAAUCCGUUACAUCUUGAUAGAUUUUGAGUAUUCAGAUUAUUUUUUGAUGACUUGAUUUUGAAAUAUAUAUGGAUAAAGAAAUUUUAUUAUAUUUUAUCUACAUCUUGGUGAUUUUUUAGUGAAAUUCUUAAUUUCUAUGAAAUUGAUGUGGAUUGAAAAAAGUCUAUGUGAAUUCAUUCUGUUCAUGUACUAACAUUAUUGUUUUCACAAUGGAAUCAUCAUAUUCUAAACUCUCUCUAUUUUGGUACUUUUUCUUUUGGCAAUUUUUGACAAAAAGGGGGAGAGAGAUGAGAUUUUGAAGAGAAAAGAAGAGAGAAAUUAAAAUUGAUUAAUUUAAUAUUUAGACGCAUGAACAAAAGGGGAGAGAUUUUCAUAUUUUUACUACUAACUUUGUUUGUAGAGAAAGUAAUCUUUUUGUAGAUCAUUGAAAACUUCAAGACUCCUUGUGACUAAGUCAUAGAGUUUGUUUAGGAGUUGCACAAUUGUAGUUUUGUGCUUUCUUUGGAUCUUUCACGCGAGAAGUUCAUUGUUUUAGUGAUGGCAAUUAAUUUCAAUUUUAAUUUUUGGAGAGUUGAGCGUUCUGAGUAUUUUAAUAUAAUUUUGAGUUUUGUCACGAAAUUGCCAAAGAGGGUGAUUAUUACGGAUUUUAAGUUGGCAUAUUUCAUGAAGUAAGUCAGAGUCUUGAAGAUUUAAAGAAGAAGAGGCGAAGAUUGAAGACUCGAAGACUCAAAACAUGAAUUCACAAUACUCGGUAAGUUUAAGUACUGUUGAUGAUGAUUUAUGAACAUUUACAAGUGUUUGGACGACAUUAGAAUAGGUAUAAAUUGAUAAAAAUUCAAUUCUGAGUUUUCCAAGUUUUAGGAUUCGGACCCUAAAAGAAAGGUCCGGAUCCCGUAAGCCUCCUUGGCUGAUAUGGAGUGAGGGUCCGGACCUUGGCUCCAGAGUCUGGAUCCCAUACGUCGAUUUUGCUAUUACGCAAGGAGGAUCCGAACCUUGGGAUCAAGAUCCGGACGCUACUGGAAGGUCCGGACCCUAAACCCGGCGUGAGUUUUCCAAAUAUGGUUUUAAGGUUUCCAAAUAUGGUUUUUUAAUCCUAAUCUAUUUUCUAAUGAUUUCCAAAUAUUGUUUUCAAUCCUAAUCUAUUUCUAAUGUCUUCUAAACGUAUAAAUAAGAAGUGGGGGUGUUUCUAAAAGAUGGCUAAGUAUAGAAUAUCUUUUUGAAGCCUUAGAAACUUGUUAGGUGCUCUCUUUCUUAUCUCCAACAACAAGUUUAUAUCGGAUCAAUUCUUAAAACCCUAAUUUCUUAUUCUUCAUGAAGAAUUGAUCCGACUAUUGCUUAGAAACAUCUUCUACGGUUCUUUCAUGAUCAUCUAAGCAAUAAAUCAUCGCCAACCGUAUUGUUCUUGCUCCGGACGGAGUGCGCUCGUGGAUUCGAGUGGGCAUCGUGGAUUCGGCGUGAUCAAAGCUUCGUGGAUUUGAAGUGUGGACGUCUCGUGGAUUCGGGACGUGGCGUUCGUGCAGUCGGAUGUGGGGCGUGGACAACCCGGCGGCGUGCGCGAGAUCCGAAGAAGAUAAAAGAGAGGUUUGAGUCCGUGGAUUCGGUAAUCACCUAAUAAUCUUUUAUUUCUUAGUGGAUUGUUAUCACGUGUUGGUCCCAUGGGUUUUCCUCCAAAUUGGAGUUUUUUCACGUAAAUCUCGAUGUGGUUUUUUCUUUCUGCAUUUAUUUUUAUCACAUUGAGAUUUGUAUUUUUGGUCCAUUCACCUAUUCACCCCCCUCUAGGUGUUUGAUAGUAUCUAGAUAGAUCCUAGGUUUUCAUAUCUUACACCGGUACUCACCAACAGGUACCGAUGCACAACACCAAGCUGCACGAACCCGAGAGUACCCAUUCAUGUAAUCCCUUUGGGGUACCGGUACUCCUCUCAGGUACCGGUAUACAACACUCAAAAUCCUGCUUUUACAGAUUUCAGUAUCCAAACUCCAAAUCUCACAGCUCCUUUUCGCGCCUAUUUCGUGCCAAAACAACUCCGACUCGUCCCAACACUCUACAGAUGUGUCGACAAGCUACUUAUGCUGUAGUCAGUCAAACAGCUAUGCCCCAGAGACACUACAAAAAGACAGCCUAUUUUUGCAAAAGCUCAAAACUAAUAGAUUUUUUAUGCAAAUUGGCUUUUCAAUAUUGUACUUUAUUGAAAGUUUUGGAUAAUCAAUAUUAACAUUACUUGAUGCGUAGAAAAUUAAUUUUUAAAACUUAUAAAACGAUAUAGGUAUGCAUUUUAAAUAUUCUUCAUCAUAUUUAAUAGUUUAGAUCUUGUUGCGUGCUGAAUGUCCCGACCUUGACCCGGUCAAUAAUUCUCCUCGGGAAGAUCGUCGGGAUGCGAGACGGCUGCGGAUUAUGACCCUCGAAGUAUGCGCCCACAGAGGAUCAAACGAUUAGGCCGAUGAGGGAUCGAAUCAGCCGGGUUCGAAAACCUCCGCAGUAAAUUCGCUUCGGCAGGAUUAGCCGAAUGGAGAGGGGAAGCCCAGAACUCGACUAAGAAACGAGCCGAAUAGCCAAACAACUUGUGAUCUGAUCGGCAAGAAGAGCCGAAGAUGACUUUCUAUUGAAUAGCAAAAGGAAAAAGUACACAAACAGGGGAGUGAUGCCCGUAGGGCAGACAGACUCCAAGUAUGGGAACAGGGGAGUGAUGCCCGUAGGGCAGACAGACUCCGAGUAUGGAAAAUUACAGAAACUACUCCUAAGGAAAGCAGUAAAUGCAAGAAUAGAAAGAUGCAGAAAAAUAAAGGUGGUCUUUGUAAGAUAUGGAUCCCGAGGAUCUAAAAGGUAAGUAACACCUAGAGGGGGGUGAAUAGGUGUAACAACGGCAAACUCAAAAAAUCUCGAUGCGAAUAAAACAAAAUAGCCGANAUCGCAGGCACUUGUAGGCCUGCUAUCGGCUGUUCAUUUCGAGCUAACAAUUGCCCUAUUCGGGCUAUGUUCUCGUUAGAGGCUGUGAUUGCGGCCAAAACGGCAUCCAGCCGUGCGGUACUUGCGUGACUAUUCUGUCCAAAGUUUGUAGGACCCGAGUCAUUUGACCAAGCGCUUAGGUCAAACUAGGCUCCUGUUGGCCAGACUGACCACUAGUCUCACCCUCAGCAGGUAAAACCGCUUGGCGCUCUACGUUAUUCUCCGAAUUACUGGGCUAUUCACUCCCAGAAUUUCUGGGAAUAGCCCGAUUACGGAAAUUCAUGGCGUUAUCGUUAGCCAUGUUUUAAAUAAAAUGCAAAUUUACCUCAAAAGAUAGUCCCAUCGGGCGUGCCAAAAAAUUGUUGCGUGCCGAAUGUCCCGACCCUUAACCUGGUCAAUAAUUCUCCUUGGGAAGAUCGUCGGGAUGCGAGACGGCUGCAGAUUAUGACCCUCGAAGUAUGCCCCCACAAAGGAUCAAGCGAUUAGGCCGAUGAGGGAUCGAAUCAGCCGGGUUCGAAAACCUACACAGUAAAUUCGCUUCGGCAAGAUGAGCCGAAUGGAGAGGGGAAGCCCAGAACUCGACUAAGAAAUGAGCCCAAUGGCCAAACAACUUGUGAUCUGAUCGGCAGGAAGAGCCGAAGAUGACUUUCUAUUGAAUAGCAAAAGAAAAAAGUACACAAAUAGGGGAGUGAUGCCCGUAGGGCAGACAGACUCCAAGUAUGGAAACAGAAGAGUGAUGCCCAUAGGGCAGACAGACUUCGAGUAUGGAAAAUUACAGGAACUACUCCUAAGGAAAGCAGUAAAUGCGAGAAUAGAAAGAUGCAGAAAAAUAAAGGUGGUCUUUUGUGCGCAGGGGCGAAGACCCUUUUUCAGGGUAUCGUAUGCCUAUUUAUAGAACCGCCUUUGCGUCAGUUAUUGCUCUUGCACGAUCAGCCACUACCUCCUGAUUCGUAAGACCACCUUCGGCCGAUCGGAACCGCUCGUAACUGCUUGCGGUUGUUAUAACUCUUCGGCCCAGUGUGGCUCGUAUACGUCCGGUGUACUCUAGGUCUACCGUUUUAGCCGUCUUACGAAUAUGGACCCGGCGUGCCAGCUGUUCGCGCCUAACUGGCUCAACAGAUCUUAAUUUUUGACCUUCUAGAUUUAGAUUCAUAUUUGUGUAAAAAUUUAUUUAACUUACACAUAUACAAUUGGAUCCCUACACACACACGCACGCACGCACGCACGCACGCGCACGCACACACACACACGCAAUAGUGAGAUUAUUAUGCUUUUAUAAGCACAUAUACCUCUAUGCUUCCACUUUGUUUUCGAUGAUAUAACAUCUAAAUCGAUGAUAUGCUUUAUUAAACUUGGUCAACAUUAUUUGAAGUAUCUAGCAGCCAAAUUUUAUAAUUUUUUGGACAUUAUUUAUCUUCCUAUUGAGUGGUUCAAAUAUAAAUGGAUUUAUUAAAGGCAAUGAUAGAGGACUUGAUUGCUAGUAUAUAUUGAUAGAUAAAUUUGCGACCAUAUUAUUCGUCGCAAAAUAUUUGUUGAAUUAAUUACUUGUUAUUGAAAUUGCGACAAAUUAUUUUCGUCGCUAUACUAUCAUAAAAUAAUAAAAUAAAAUUAUUAAAAAAAUAACGACUUUUUGCGACGACUAGAUGUUGUUGCAAUUAGAUUAUAUUUAGCAACGAAAAAUAUUAUCCAGAUGUAUAUUUAGCAACAAAUUACGGGGUCACUAGCGACCAGUUAUUUUGUCGCUAUUACUGCAUUUAUAGUGACAAAUCUUUGUUCGUCGCUAAAUGUAACAACUAAUAGCGACCAACUGCUUUACUUCAUCGCUAAAUAGUUUUAGCGACGGGGCGGUAGCGACGAAGCAGCGACAGAGCUAUUUUUGUCGCUAAUUAGCAAUAGCGACAAAAUUUCAUUAUAUAGCGACAAAUAAUGUUGGUCGCAAAGGACCUAAAUUUUUGUAGUGUACCUCGUAUCGACUACUAAAAUAAUUAAUUUUUGAGACAUUUCGAUCACUAGGUAAAUGAAUUAAAAAUUAUAAAAUUUAAUUUAAAUAUUUCAAAUAGUGUAGAUUAAGUCUAAAAAUGACGAUCUUUGAUUUUGAUGUCACAUCAUCGAAAAUAAAGUGAAAGUGCAAAUGGCUCCGUACUUCUAAAAGUAUAACAGCCUCACUUCAUACUAUAUAUAUAGAAUUCAACUACUAUCCUUUUAAAAGGACGAAAGCGUUCAUCAUAUCAAGUUGUUUUUAAUGAUAAAGAGUCCGAAUCGAUGAUCAGAACCAUUAAAGUUUAGAAUAUUUGAAAUAUUUAGAAACAAAUGUCAAAAUUUUUAAAAAUUAUUACGUAGUGAUCAAGGAUCACAAAAUUGAUAACUUUUGACGGCAUAUAUUAGCCAUGCUUAUUUAACGGUGUAGAGUGAUCCAAACCACUUGAAUUUUUUAUAACAAAAAUCUUUAUAAUAUUUAGAUAAUAUUUGAUAACUCUGAUUAUGAAUUGAAAAUAUCUAACAUUUAUUUUCACAAGAUUAUUCAGUUUUUACCCUUUUUUGGAUGUUCGAUGGACUUGGUAAUGUUUUUUAAAAAAUACAAAAUUUGGUUUCUAAAUAUAAUUAAUAGUGUAGAUCAAUUUCAACGAUACUGAUUAUCAAUUUGGAGUCACGAUCGUCUAAAAUAAUUUAAUAGGACAAAGGUCUCUAUCGACUUGAAGUUUCCGAUCAUCGAUCCAUAUCAUUAAAUAUGACCUAAAACAUUUAAAGUAUCUAGAAAUUAAACUUUAUAAUUUUUUGAAUUUAUAAUAAAAUCCAUCAAGUGGAUAUAAAAUGAACAGUCGAAAUAAAACAAUCUCCUAAAAAUAGGGGAUGCAAUUUUUAAAUUCAAUAUCUAAGUAAUUGAUCUUGAUCUAUAGAGUGUAUAUAUAGAAGUUUCCAUUAAAAAUUCAAUCGAUUCCUAUUCUUUUACACCGUUAACUUGGAAACAGUCUAUACUCGCUAUUAAAAAUGUAAAUUUUUAGGCCCUUUCAUCGUAAAAUAUAUGAUGUUACAAAAAUUAUAAAAUUUAAUUUUUAAGAUUUUUAAAUACUUUAAAUUUUAUUUAACGGUAUGUAUCGUUGAUUCGAAACUCUAUCAUCGAAAAAGACUCAUUAGUACGAAAAUGAUUGUACUCAUAAUAAUAUAGUAGUCUAACUAUAUAUAUAUAUAGAGAGAGAGAGAGAGGGCUGGUAUGCUUCUGGAAGCAUGGAGACCUCCAUGCUUCCAAGUUGUUUUCGAUGUUUGGACUUUUGAAUCGAUGAUCGGCUCCAUUAAAGUUGAUCUAGAGUAUUUGAAGUACCUAGAAAAUAAAUUUUGUGAUUUUUCGAUAUCAUUUGCUUAGUGAUCGAAGGGGCUCAAAAUCAAUAAUUUUAAUGGCCGUGGUGAGCCGUUUGCAAGUUUAACGGUAUAGAAAUAUCCAAAUCACAUGAAAUUUUGAUAAAAAAUUCUUUAUACCAUAUAAAACAAGAUCAAUAACUUUGAUCUAAAAUUUUAAUGUCAUAUCAUCAUAUUUUGUAAGAUUUUUAUUUUCAGCCGUUGAUUUUGAGCCACUUCGAUCACUAGGCAAAUGAUAUCGAAAAAUCGCAAAAUUUAUUUUCUAGAUACUUCAAAUACUCUAGAUCAAGUCUAACGGAGCCGAUCGUCGAUUCGAAAGUCCGAACAUCGAAAACAACUUGGAAGCACGGAGCGCUCCGUGCUUCCAGAAGCAUACCAGACACACACUCUCUAUAUAUAUAUAUAUAUAGAGAGAGAGAGAGAGAGAGAGAGAGAGAGAGAGAUAGCUAGACUGUUAAACUAUUGGUAGCACGGAGACCUCCGUGCUAUCAAAUUGUUUUCAAUGAUACGGCUUCCAAAUUGAUGAUCGGCUCUGUUAAGCCUAAUCUACACUAUUGAAAGUAUUUAAAAACAAAAUUUCUAUUACGCCCGGGCUCCACCGGAAGCCUAACCGGUAUAUGCACAGACCCGCAGUGCGCACUAGGCAACUCCGAUGCACACAUGGCGUACACAAUAAGAAGUAUAAUGUGAACAAGAGAUAGUAAAGUUCAAAUAUCAUACACGAGAGAAUCAGAGCAUACAACGGAUUCUAUGAAAUAAAGUAAAUGAAAUACAUUGACCAUUCAAAAAUAUACAAUAUGUAUCAACUAAAAGUACAUCUCAUGAGCAAAAGGGGUCUUUAUACAACAGGUACUAACAUGCCUUUCAAGACAAAAAUCAAAAGAAAGGUGCCUCAGGUCCACCUCUAAUGACUCUCACAAGCUCUAGAUAGUCGCUAACCCCUUUCCUCGAUCACUAACCUCUCCCGCUUUGAAUCUAUUACAUCCGGGCCCCAGCAGAAGCCUACCUGGAACGUGUAUAGAUCCAUCGUGUGCACUAGGCAACACCAGUGCACACAAAGCGUACACAACAAGAAGCAUGAUGUAAACAAGAGAUAGUAAGUUCAAAUAUCAUACAUGAGAGAACAAGAGCAUACAACGGAUUCUAUGAAAUAAAGUAAAUUAAAUACAUUGAUCAUUCACAAGAUAUACAAUAUGUAUCAACAAACUGUACAUCUCAUGAGCAAAAGGGGUCUCUAUACAAAAUGUACUAACAUGCCUUUCAAGACAAAAACCAAAAGAAAGGCACCUUAGGUCUACCUCUAGCGACUCUCGUAGGCUCUAGCUAGUUGCUAAUCCUUUUUCUCGAUCCCCAGCCUCUCCUGUUGUAGAAGGCUCUACAAUAAAAACAAUCAAACAUUGGGUGUGAGAACUAUUAUAUAAUAGUUCUCAAUGGGUAAAACACUGAGAAGAGCAAAUUACACCACUAGGUCAACUGAGACAAGAUUAGUAGAUAACUAAAAUGAAAAACUAGUACCAAAGAGCUAAAACAUAAAGUUUUGAUUCUAUCUUGCCUCUAUGCUAAUUAUGCUAAUCCCAUAAGUAACUAGUUCCACCACUUUCAUGUAGAGAAGUGAGUAUGCAUGUAGUAACCACCAUCUUAUAUGCAAAGUAUGCAUGUAAUACUUGCUAGGAUAUCUAAUUUCCAUGUAUACACCAUUUAGUUAUGCUGUUUAACAUUUGAUUUAACCAACUUUUACCCAAUCGUCGAGGACCUACUUGUGGUAAGGUCGAGGGUUGUGGAGUGCCGACUUGUAGGAAGCGACCCUUACAAGAGUGUGCGAAUGAGCACAAGGGCAAGCAAGCGUAGUUAUAAGCGCAAUGUCUAAGGAUAACAAAUCUCAAACAUCACAUCUAAAAUAUGAAAUUAUAAUCAUCAACUUGAAGGUCGGAUACUAUAGUAGGUAUGAUACAUUUUCCUUCACAACUAAUUAUGAGUAGUUCACUACUAUUAUACAUCAUGUCCCUAACAUGCAAAGACUUACAUCUCAUUUCAUUCACAAAUAUUGAGGUGUUUGCUAACCACAUUCUAAUAAGAGAGUAAUUCUAUUACUCAUGCAUCAUCAUAGGGAGUUUUAAGUAUAUAACAUUUCCACUAUAGAAUGUAAAAGUAAUUUGCUCAUGUCAUAUCUGAAAGAUGCAAGGAUGUCAACCAAGUUCAUAAUUCAUGCCAUGCAUAUAACUUGCUACAUAUGCCACUACUAUAUAGAGAGUGAAAUUCGUCAUGCAAGGGAUGACCAAUCUAGAUGUCUAAAAAUUCAAUGAUGCCAUGAAUUGCAUGUUUAAUCAUUUCUUGAGUUCUAGAAUAAAGUAGGAGACAUAGAAAGGGUUCACCUAUUUUCGGUGAGGUUAAACCCACCAGAUAACUAUUGAAAUCUCGUUCGUUUCUCUAAUGACCCCAAACUUCUUAUAUCUUAAGAAAAAAUUUCAAGAGGUUACAAACUUCUAAAAGGCUUUCCCAUGAAAUUCACUAAAAAUCAAAGAGAAAUUAGGUAAAAAAUUACCUGAGUCAAAGAAAACUUGACCAAGCUUCAAACUAAAAUAAUAGGGCUUUAAUUCCAACCUGCAAGAGUGUUCUACACUCAACAAUUUCACUCUAAAAUAAAUCCUAGUUCCAUCAAGACUAGGUUUCUACCAAAAUUCUUGCAAAUCGCACAAUUAGAGAGUGCAAGAAGGUUGCUAAUCUCAAGUCAAACUUCAAUCAAAACUAUAAAUUGUUAGGGUUGAAGCUCAAGCCUUCAAACAACUCUCCUUUUCAAGCUUGAGCUCUACUCCAAGUCCUAGGAGCAAGCAUCCAUGGAAGAGAUGAAGAAAAGAAGAACAAAUCCAAGAAUUAGGAGGAUUGGAAGAAGAAAUCCAAGAAAGGGGGGAAAAGGAACCUAUCUUCUCCUUCUCUUUCACUGCCCAAAAGAGAGGGCUAAACAAGGGUGAAGUGCGUUAUAAUCCGACUAGCACGAACCCUCUUAGGUCCCUCAAAAACCAGAAAAUUACAAACUGCACGAAACUGUUUCAGAAUCAUUGAGUACCAGUACACAGUUUGGAGUACAGGUACUUGGGCAGUUCCGGUACCUCGGGGUUUAGUUCCGCAAAACCCGAACAUUAGAAUUUUUGCUUCCUAUUGCGUUCCGGUACCCACUCGUAUCAGUACCGGUACAACUUGGGUCAUUACCAGUACUCAGCCAAGUUUCGCAAAAUUUCAGAGCUGCUCAAACACACAUUUUACUGAAUUCCGGUACCCCAUUCCAGUAUCGAUACUCAAUACGGAAAAAAACUGCAGUUUUAUAAAUUUUGAGUUCCGAAAUUCGUUUUCGUGCUUAUUAAGUUUAAAAAACGAUCCUAAGCUCUCAAAACUCAAUCAAAAUCCCUAAAAAGUAUAGAAUAUUAUAUUUACACUAGAACUCCGGAAUUUGGUAAAAUUUAGUGUGCUACAAUUUCAUAAUUUUUUGAUAUUAUUUGACUAGUGAUCAGCUAUCCAACUUUUUAAAAUUUUGAUUUUACUACUUAAUAUUUAAAUUUGUUUAACUUGACUCAAUCAAUGGUGUUUUGACUUUAAAAUUUAAUUUAAUUACUUAUUUUAUUAUUUAUAUAGUUAUGAAGAAUUGCAUGAAGUAUCUUAACCAAAACUGUAAAGAUAAAUAAGACAUUCAAAUUUAAAGAUAAAAGUAUUAUUGACUGAUUCAAAUUAAAUAAAUUAAAAGGUUGGAUAGUGUUACGAGCCGUAUUUCUAGACCAUUGACACGAUUAGUACUCUCCUUCGGGAAACGAGUUGAGCAGUGGGUCGGUUCCUGAUGAUGACCCUCGAAUGUGCUCCAUACAGAAUCAAGCGAUCAGCUGAGAAGGGAUCUGUCCAGUCGAGUCCGAACACUCGAAUAUAUUAUUGACUUGGCUGAAUAAACCGAGUGACUUCAAUAUAAUUUAAAAAGAUUUCGAAAUACAGGAAGAUAAGUCCUACCCUUAACUAAAGAAAAAAUAAUAAGAUCUACUGCAGCUAAUAAGAAAAAUCUACUGUAACAAACUAGAGCAAGUCCUUAGAGCAAGUGGCAAAAAGCUUGGUGGUUGGUACCCGAGGUCCCAAGUUUGAAUCCUAGUUGAUUCACAUUUCUAGCUAAGUAUAUUUCUAAAUGAAAUAAACGAAACGGGUAGCGUGCCACCUAUCUCUCAAAACAAAAAAAUCUCAAAACAAAAAAAAAGAGAAAAAUCUACUGUAACAAAUACCUAAAUUACAGUGAUCUUUUGUACGGAAAAGAAACCUCUUAAUUAAUACUUAUUGAGGGAGUACAUUUCGGCCACGUCCUUAUUUUUUCGAAUUAUGCUCUGGCCAUUUCUCUUAACUCGCGGUGUAUCACAUGUGACUUUAUAUGUGAUUUUUUCGUUUCGUCCACGUAGUUGAGCCGGUCCUUCUAUACGGCGCAUUUUGUGACGCCAAUAAAGAGUAAAACCAAAGUAUAUAUAGUGCAGGUUAGUUAGUUCUAUAGGCGUGUUUUGUUGGUUAGCUUCGUAGGACAGCGACACCGGUUUACGACCAAUCCGGUCCAACCGCCCAGUCCGGCCCGGUUCUCUAAACAUGGGUAGGUAGCGGCAGUGAGCCGUGAGCGAGACGGGUGGUGAAAAAGAGCUUCUUCCUAUGCGCUUCUUGAAAAGGGACAGACGAGAUGAGACGAGACGAGACGAGACGAGAAAUGGUGGUGGGAUCGGGAAGUUGUGCGGAAGCAGCGGGGAUUGGGUAGCACUUUUUUCCUGCAGCUUCGCAUUGCGCACGUGCUAUAAUUAGUAAUAGCACGCACUCCAUAUGAGCCCAAAUGUCUUAAACUAUUAAUUAACUAAUAUUAUUCUUAUUCUUCCUCACGUAAUCAGGGACGAAGCUAGCAUUCGAUUAUGAGAGGGGCCAAAAUACAUACAAAUCAAAAUUUUAGCAAACAAACAAGGUUUACCUAGUUAAAUUUUUGAUGAGAAAAUAUAUUGACUAAAUAAUUAGUGUAAAAUGGCAUUACCCUUUUUUUAUUUAUACUUAACUUUUAAUUAUUUUAUUUAUAUUAUUUCACUCAAAUAACUUUGAAAUUUACUAAAUCUAAUAGUAAUUCAGUGAAUGAUUUAAUUUCUUAAUUUUUACUAAAUAUAAUUGUGACGAUAAAUAACUAUUAGUUAACAGAGCUAUUAACUUUAAUAUAAUUUUUAAUUUAAUUAAAUAAAAAAAUUAUCUAAAAUAAUUAGAAAUUAUGAACGUACUAAAUAAAAAAUAAAAUAAACUCAAAGUUGAGAGAGUAUUAUAUUAGCGUCAAAUUUUAAAAAAAAAAAACAGAAUACUCAUCAUACUUUUAAAAUUAAAUAAAUUUUUUUAAAAAAAUUGCUUAUAUAUGGCCCCCCUCAGCCCCUCAAUAGCUCCGCCCCUGCACGUAAUGCGUGACGGGAUUUCUUUUCUCUCUCUCUCUUUUCUUUUUUUUUUUCUUGGCCUCAUUCUCGCACGAGUCAAGGAUUGGGUGAAUCCAAAGAGUGGCAAUUCAUAAUGAAACUAAAAAUUUGUUAAAAAAAAAAAAAAAAACCUCAUUCUCGCACGAGUCAAGGAUUGGGUGAAUCCAAAGAGUGGCAAUUCAUAAUGAAACUAAAAAUUUGUUAAAAAAAAAAAAAAAAAAAAGAUAGUAUGCCUUUUCUUUCGCUUACUUUUUAGAAAUAAUUAAGCAGAAUUUAUUUUUUUAAAAAAAAUUAAACAAAACUGCUCCACUUUAAUCGGUGUCUUUAUUUAUUUAGAUUUUUGUUACUUUCUGGCAAUUCAAUUGUCAAUUUGAUGGGACUGGUUUAUGUUGUAAAUAAUAAUGACGAAUGUAAAGAGUAUUUAAUAACUAAAUUAGAACAUAUUUUAUUAUUAAAAAAAAAUUAUUUGUGUCUCUUUUGACUUAUGAGCUUAACUCUCGUUACCUUUGCUUUUUUUUUUCUUUUAUUUUUGUUAAAUUAUGCAAAAUAAUUAUUAUUCUCUAAAAAAACUUAAAUUACUAAAAGUAAAACUUUAAUAUUUUAUAUUCGGUAAUUUUGAUUUGGUGUUAUUUUAUUUUUAAGACUCGCGCGUUUUCUCUUUUUCGAAACAAUAUAUUUUCAAUAUAGAAUACACACAAAAUGUGCCCCUUCUUAAUUUUUUUUCCCUCUCUUUUUAUCUUACUUGUUGUGGACGAGUCUAGGACGUCUAACUGGGGCGAAUUAAACUGUAUUAUAUAUGGCUAAGCGGGACCUGCGUACCUCUUGAAUACAUGCUGUAGCUAAUCAAGCAUAUUUCUUCUUAGCAAGUGAGUGGGGUCCUUAAUUUCUUUAAUUAAUUUGAUGUUAAUGAUUAGUCGCCAUCUUAAUUAUCAAACACUUCCGAAAAGGAACCGCAGAUUUAAUUUUACAAGUUCUAUUGUGUGUGUGUGUAUAUAUAUAUAUAUAUAUAUAGAGUAGGGCUACUAUACUCUUAUGAGUAGUGGACCCUUACUACUCAUAAGUUGUUUUCGAUGAUGGAGCUUCCGAAUCGACGAUCCACUCCGUUAAAUAUGAUCUAGAGCAUUUAAAACUUCUAGAAAUUAAAUUUCAUAAUUUUUCAACAUCAUUUACCUUAUGAUCAAAAGCUCACAAAAUUGACAAUUUUUAACGGCCGGUAUGGGAUACUUGCUAGUUUAACGGUGGAAAAGAAUCGGAAUAGGUUGAAUUUUUGANAAGGAUUGGGUGAAUCCAAAGAGUGGCAAUUCAUAAUGAAACUAAAAAUUUGUUAAAAAAAAAAAAAAGAAAAAAAAAAAAAAAGCCUUUUGUUUCGCUUACUUUUUACAAAUAAUUAAGCUGAAUUUAUUUUUUUUAAAAAAAAAUUAAACAAAACUGUUCCACUUUAAGCGGUGUCUUCAUUUAUUUAGAUUUUUGUUACUUUCUGGCAAUUCAAUUGUCAAUUUGAUGGGACUGGUUUAUAUUGUAAAUAAUAAUGACGAAUGUAAAGAGUAUUUAAUAACUAAAUUAGAACAUAGUUUAUGAUUAAAAAAAUUUAUUUGUGUCUCUUUUGACUUAUGAGCCUAACUCUCGUUACCUUUGCUUCUUUUUUUUUCUUUUUUUUUUUGUUAAAUUAUGCAGAAUAAUUAUUAUUCUCUAAAAAAACUUAAAUUGCUAAAAAUAAACCUUUAAUAUUUUAUAUUCGGUAAUUUUGAUUUGCUGUUAUUUUAUUUUUAAGACUCGCGCGUUUUCUCUUUUUCGAAACAAUUUAUUUUCAAUAUAGAAUGCACACAAAAUGUGCCCCCUCUUAAUAUUUUUUUCCUCUCUUUUUCUCUUACUUGUUGUGGACGAGUCUAGGACGUCUAACUGGGGCGAAUAAAACUGUAUUAUAUAUGGCUAAGCGGGACCUACGUACCUCUUGAAUACAUGCUGUAGCUAAUCAAGCAUAUUUCUUCUUAGCAAGUGAGUGGGGUCCUUAAUUUCUUUAAUUAAUUUGAUGCUAAUGAUUGGUCGCCAUCUUAAUUAUCAAACACUUCUGAAAAGGAACCGCAGAUUUAAUUUUACGAGUCCUAUGGUGUGUGUGUCUGUUGUGAUAAUAUAAUAAUUACUAUAUUCUUAUAAUAUAAUAUUAGAAUAAAAGAGUAGGGCUGACUAUCUCUUUAUGAAGUGUGGACAUUACUACUCAUAAUUUGAUUUUCGAGAUGGAGCUUUCCGAAUCGACGAAUACCAUCCGUAAAAUAUGAUCUAGAGGCAUUAAAACUUGCUAGAAAUUAAAUUUCAUAAUUUUCACAUCCUAUUUACCUUAUGAUCAAGAGAAGCUCACCAAAUUGAGCAAUUUUUAACGGGCGCGUAUGGGAUCUUUGCUAUUUAAACGGUGGAUAAGAGAAUCGGAAUAGGUUGAAAUUCUUUUGAUAGAAAAUUCUAUUCACUACUAGAUAAAGACAAUUACUCCGAUCUUUAAUGGGGAUCCGAUCCAAUCCAUUUUUUAGGACAUCGUCGUCUUGACGUUCAUUUAUUCCCCGCUUGAAUGCUUUAAUUAUGAUUUCGAAAAAUACGAAAUUUAUUUCACUAGAAUUUCAAUACUCUAAAUCAUAUUUGAACGGAGGAUCGUGUCGAUUCGAAGCCUAUCAAUCAACAACAACUUAUGAUAGAAGGAUCCACUACUCAUAAGAGUAAGUUAGCCUACUCUAUAUAAUAUAUAUAUAUAUAUAUAUAUAUAGAGAGAGGAGAGAGAGAGAGAGAGAGGAGAGAGAGAGAGAGAGAGAGAGAGAGAAAGAGAGUAGAGAGAGAAGAGAGAGACGUUGGACUGAUCUCAAUAUUAGUUAGCAAAAAUCUCAUUGUGCAACCAGUUUUUUUAGCCCUUAGAUCAACUCUUUCUAUUAUUCUCUCUAACCAUUGGAUUAAAUACUAUAAACCAGUGGGGACCACUCAACCCUAGGGGACAUUCCAGCUCUAACUGAUUAAUAUAUCCUGACGUUAAUUAUUUCAUUAAAGGUUAAAAAACUUGAUCUUUACCUAUUAAUAUAUCACGGCCUAAUUCUGAAAUAUAUAUUAUUUAAUUAUAAUAUAUAUAUAAUAUAUAUAUAUAUAUAUUAUAUAUAUAAUAUAUAUUAUUAUGAAACUUACUGAGUUCUAUUGUAUAUAUACGAAACUUUCUAGUUGUGUUGUCAUUUUAAUUUGCCUAUUCAAUAUAUACUAUUUAAUCUUUUAAUUAUUUUAAUUUGAGUCAAUUAACAAUAGUUUGAUUUUUAAAUUUGAAUAUAUAUAUUUUGUUUAUCAUUAAAGAUUUAAUUAGCAGUAUGCUCCGUACAAUCUUUGCAACGAUAAACUCAGUAAAAUGAGUAAUUAACUUAAAUUUGAAAGUCAAAGUACCAUACGUUUUCUAACACAUACCAAACAAACUGAAAGGUUCGAUAAUAAAAUUAAAAUUUUAAAAAAUUAGGCAUCUAAAUCAAAAUGGUUUAUAGUGCAAAUAAGUUAUAUAUGUACGUACUUUACCUCUUUUGAACAUAUAUUUUAUAUAAGCAUCAAAAGUUUUCAAACUUCUCUAAUGCCUGAGAUGCAUGGCUAUUAAUUUUUAGCCUACCGUAAAUUAAAUGUCUGUCUUAUUUAUUUUGAUCUAAUUAGCAUGCAUAAUCAUGCAAAAAGACUAUUUUACAACAAAUUAAAUUAACUCUCUUCUUUUAAUUUACAAAUACUAAUUAAGUGCCAAAUUUAAAAUGUAAAUUUAUAGAAAAUAUAAAAGAAGAGCCAACUUAAUUAACUAUCAAAGGUCAGUUAUGUGGUGGAAAUUAUCAAGACAAGAAGAUCUCUAAUUAGAAUUGAAUUCCAAAAACAGCAGUAGAGUAGAAGAAUGAUAGAAGUUUCCUGGGGCGACGCAUGAGAAGGUUAGAGAGGAAACAUGCAUGCACUUGUGGAAAUUAUCCUCGCUCUUUGUUUGCACUUUCGCUGCCAAUGAGGAAUCUAAUCAUCUAGUUGACACUUUAUGAGCUCUUUAAUUACCCCCAAAAUGGUCAACCCUUUUCUUUCUUUUUUUUCCUUAGUACCUCUCUAGAAAUUAGCCUAAUUAUAAAUAACAAUCAAAUUUUUAGAGUGACUAAUUACAACAUAAUAUUCAACCACUUUUACAGAUGGCCAUCUAAACUGUAAAAUUAUCAUAUUUGUCACACCAACUUUUAUAAUUUUGUGAUUAGCCCCUAAGUAAACGCCGUCUUAAUCAACAACGUAUUGAACUAACAAUCUCAGUUUCAAAAAUGAAUCAGCAGCCGCUUCUCAUUCUUACCCGUUCCGGGCCAAAUCCAGUUCGUCUUCGAACGCUUUUUUUUUUUGCUCCUGAUGCACCACAUAUCACCCUUCGAUUUGCCCACGUCAAUCAACCACGUUGACCGAGCUGUCUACUAGUUAGCGCUAUUUUCUUGCACCAACUGUCACUAAGCUUUCGAUGAAACUUCGUUUAGGUUACUAAAUUGUAAUUUGUUUCGAUUAUGUUACUGAAUUUUAUUUUCUAUUUCAGUUUGACCACUUUGUUAAAUAUUCUAUAUUUUAUCGAACAACAUGGCAAAAUAGUAGCUAACUUGCCAAAUUAUGUUCUAUGCAGGACCCGAAAAUUAAUUUAUCAUCUAGAAACGAUCGACUGCAAAUUUAGUUAUCAACAUAUCUUGUCGAGAUAAUAUAACAAUUUGAAUAAUAAUUGUAGAACGCAGCGGAAGUAUUCGUUCGUAUCUUUUUGAGGAAACGAUUCGCGUUACAACGCGAUGAGCCCGGAUCGUCGAGGUUGAUUCACGUGUCCUUUGAUCGUCCUUGAUUAAAUCUUCUCACGUUCAAAACUCGCAAUGGAUCGAACUACAAACGAGCACGAUCACAAAUCCAUCGUUCAAGUCCCUCUUAGAAUAAUAGGUUGAUGGAGGAUGUGGUUUUUCUCUUUUGUUUUCUUAUUCUCUUUUCUUUUUCCAUUCUUGUACAUUUUUGUUAUGUGGGAUCGCCCGUAUAUUUAUAAGGGAUUCCAAAAUCCUAAUAAUAUUUGAAAUAAGGCCAAAUCGGUUAUUAAUUAUUAUUUUAAUAUGACUAGAAUUUAUCUCUAACUAACUUUUCAAUUUGAAAGCGAGAUUAAUUCUAAUCCAAUUAGAUAACAUAACAUCCGUCGGAUCGAACCCGCUUAUGGGCGUAUCCGAUUCGAUUUAACCGAACGCCAACAAUAAUAAUUUUGAAAUAAUGUAAAAAUCUAGUUAACUAUUAAUGAUUGUCAUGUCGUUUUCAGUUUUCGAAUUAGUUGCCAUUAUUAAUUCACCAAGAAAUAAUAAAAUUAAAGUCCAGCAGCGUCCUAAUUAACUGAAUUUUCACAGGAAAUUCAGUAACUAAUGAUGUAAUUUAAUCUAUCAAAAUACCGCAAAGAAUGUUUAUGCAUAUGAAACUCUUUAUUAGCAUCAUUCUGUUGCGCACCCGGACGAUCCGCAACCGCCGAUGAUGAGAUUGCUCUGAGGCCGGUAUGGCGGUGAGGAUGAUGGGCGUAUUUCAGUCGCGAUUAAGAUGAGAAAGUGAUAAGGAAUAAGGGAGAGAAGGAAAGAUCAGAUGUAAGAAGAGACAGAGUAGAGAAUAGAAACAGAGGGAGAUGAAGUUGAGAAAGAAAGCAUUAAUUUCAUUCAUUGCCUAAUUCCUAUUACACGCUGCCUCUUAUUUGCAAUCUGAAGAAAACCCUAAACCUAACUGGACUCCUAGGACUCCUCUCGGUGGCCCACGUAACAUGGGCCUUGCUGGCCCGCUUCUUGAGAGAUAUCGGAUCAGACCCCCUCGACUAUCCGCAUCCGCCCAAAGCCGCCCCAUCAGAAUAAUCUAGAAGCUGGGUCACUUCCCACUGCUCUUCACUCCUGUCGGAUUGCCCUCUUUCCUCUACCUCUUCCUAAGUCGUCCCUUCUCCUUCCUACGCCUCCCUCCUACCGCCGAUCCUUGCCGACGCACGGCACACCUCCUGGAACCUGGACAAAGAAGAAGAAGUUAAGUCCUUCUCCUCUCUUAUUAUUCCGACCAUAUCCUCUACUGCUGCUACUAACUCCUUCUUCUACUUGGCAGGUGCAACAAUCCCCCCUACUUGAGUUGAUCCUUGCCCUCAAGGAUCAAAAGAUGGAUANCUUAAUCAACAACGUAUUGAACUAACAAUCUCAGUUUCAAAAAUGAAUCAGCGGCCGCUUCUCAUUCUUACCCGUUCCGGGCCAAAUCUAGUUCGUCUUCGAACGCUUUUUUUUUCGGCUCCUGAUGCACCACAUAUCACCCUUCGAUUUGCCCACGUCAAUCAACCACGUGAACCGAGCCGUCUACUAGUUAGCGCUAUUUUCUUGCACCAACCAUCACUAAGCUUCCGAUGAAACUUCGUUUAGGUUAAUUACUAAAUUGUAAUUUGUUUCAAUUAUAUUACUGAAUUUUAUUUUCUAUUUCACUUUGACCUUCUUUGUUAAAUAUUCUAUAUUUUAUCGAACAACAUGGCAAAAUAGUAGCUAACUUGCCAAGUUUUCACAGGAAAUUCAAUAACUAAUGAUGUAAUUUAAUCUAUCAAAAUACCGCAAAGAAUGUUCAUGCAUAUGAAACUCUUUAUUAGCAUCAUUCUUGCAACAUUAAGUAGUUUUCCUUAAUUAAUGAUACAUUCUCUCUACCUGUAUACUGUUCUUCUAGAAAGAUUAAAUUCUAAAACAUAUGCAUAUCUACAGAUAUAAAUAUAUAUUCAUAUAAAUCCAAAUGAGCCCACGCCAUUUUUAGGACGACCUUGAGUCCACAUCCACCUGUAUACUGUUUUCUCUUCUUUUUUUUAAAAAUAAAAAAAAAAUAAAAACACCUAAAAGACGGAUCAACAAAGGGAAGUCCUACUUGGCAUAUAAUAACAACAAUAAUAAUAAUAAUAAUAUUAUUAUUAUUAUUAUAUUAAUAACUAUAUAGCCACCAAUUAAAGAAAACAAAUGCACAUGUAUUUAAAUCUAAGGCAUGCAUCAAAGUUAUUAUAUUUAAGCAACCUCCUAGUCCAACUUUUAUUAGAGUUUAGGAUAACUACUCACUCCUUAAAACUAAUCCAAAUAAAAUAUCACCUAACAGAAACAGCCAGUCUCAUUUGGGACCCAGAUUUACACCCAACCUCAACAGUAGUCAGUAGGCUGUCCAACAUAAAGUAUCAAAAAAUUAUUUUUCAAGAGAUUAAGUUUUUAGAGAUAAAUAAUCAUUUUAUAGACACCAAAGAAUUCGAAUCCCACCGGUCUCCUAGGUAAACGGUUGUUUCGGACAUGUCAUUUUGAAACCAUCCUUUUAUGUCCUUUGUUGAAAUUUUUUAAAAUUUUGAUUUAAAUAAUUUGAGUCCAAUAAAUUAAAAAUUUUAGUGAAUUCAUCAAUAAUUCCUUUAGAUUUAGUUAUUCUAAUUAUGUUUUGGUAAAAAAAAAUUAGAGCAAUUAAUGGCUAAAAAGUUGAUAGAAUAAUUAUACUUGAAUUUUUAUUUUUAUUUUUUUUAACUUUGCUAUCUAGAUUAAAUCAAACAAUUUCCUACGGCGGCCAAAGCAUUGGGGAAAAAAAAAAAUCUUUCAAAAUGUCUACAAAUAGUGAGAGAUAUCCAUGGACGGAAAAUGUCUAAAAUAUGGUGGUAGCGUAAUAGCACUAUAUCUUCAUGCCACCAAUCAAAUUGUGUCUACAAAUUUACCUAUUUCAUUAUAUUUUUUUUUAAAAAAAUAUUAUAUUUAGUGAUAAAAAGAGAAAUUUGAUUAAUUUAAAAUAUAAAUAAUGUGACGCAACUGUUACAUAAAAGAUCACGUCCUAUGUUAUUGAUCAUAUAUUUUACCUUAUAUAUAUAUAUAAUAUUUAAGAGAUAAUUGUCUAUAUAUAUGUAUCCUUCAAAACUUUUAAAAUAUUUUAUUUAUCUUUACUUAUUUUUUUUUUCUUUCCAAUAUACCCCUCAUAUGUUUCUCUAUUAUUCCAAAAUACUUCUACAAUUAUCAUCCGUUAAGUUAAUUUGGAUUAAACGUGAGUUAAAUAUCUAGCACAGUUAAAAAAAAAUUAAAAUGCCACUUUUGUUCUUAACUUAAGGGCAAAUAAGAAAUGUUGGUGAUGGUAGAAGAGUAUAUUUGAAAAGACCAAAAAGUAAAAUAUAUUUUGUAUCCCCUAACUUAAGAGCAAAUAAGAAAAGCCAGUAAUAUAUGGUAGAAGGAUAUAUUUUAUAGAGAUAAUAUAAUUCAUUAACAAAUUUUAAUUCUAGCGAUAUANUUUAUAAUAUAAAACAUGCAGUAACUUUCUAUGUGGUUCAGUACAAUACUCUGAAUUGAGUCCCGAACUUUCUAUGCUUCAGCUUAGUUCUCUCCAAAUUAACUCCUUCCAAUUUAUUUAAUAAUCAAAAAUUUUUUAUCAACUAAAACAGGAGAUUUAAUUAAUUUGUUAGUGAUCUAACAUAUAUGCGAGGGGUAGGGGUCUUUAUUCAUUUUUCACCAGUUUAGAGAAUAAAUGACUUGAAAAGAAAUAUUUUCUAUAAAACUGAUUAAAUAGGAAAUGUUUGGCAUAAUUAACACCCCAACCAGUCCACGUGGCGCUGAUGUGGCGCCUACGUGGCAAUAUCAGAAUCAUUUUUACAAAUUUAAAUUUAUUAUAGCUAUUUUUUAAAGGCUAAUUGUAAAAAAAAAAAAA
rnacentral:lncRNA from 1 species